GUGCACCGCGGCGAGCGCUCGGAGGGAGCGGACGGGAUGCGACGACCGGGCGGCGUCUCUUGAGUCUCCGUGCCCCCCGCGGCAGGGCCGCCGCGCACCCGGCUCCCACCGUCCCUGCCCAUGGGCCGCGGGCCACCGCGAGAAGCAGGCCGAGCGCCGCAGCCGCCUGAGGGACCCUGGCAGGUCACCUGGAUGUCAGCAUGGCAGCCACAAACCUGGAGAACCAGCUGCACAGUGCACAGAAGAACCUGCUCUUCCUCCAGCGGGAGCACGCCAGCACACUCAAGGGGCUGCACGCCGAGAUCCGGCGGCUGCAGCAGCACUGCACAGAUCUAACAUAUGAGCUGACACUCAAAAGUUUCGAACUGACAGAGCUGGCACUCCAGAGACGCUGACUCCAGCUGACGCUCUCGCUGUUUUAACCUCAGCACCUUCAGAUUCUGGAGAAUCUUUUACACAGAGACAGCUCUUCCAGAACGACGGAGCUGAAGAGGCGCUGUGAGGAGCUGGAAGCCCAGCUGAAGGCCAAAGAGGAGGAAAACCGCAAGCUGCUGCAGGAACUGGAACAGAAGAACGCCGCCAUCGCUGUGCUGGAGAACACAGUCCGUGAGAGAGAGAAGAAGUACCUGGAGGAGCUGAAGGUGAAGAGCCACAAACUGAGCAUGCUGUCAGGUGAGUUGGAGCAACGCGCCAGCACUGUGGCCUACCUCACCUCGCAGCUGCAUGCAGCCAAGAAGAAGUUGCUGAGCUCAAGUGGCACCUCGGAUGCCAGCCCUGCCGGCAGUCCCGCGCUGGCCAGCUACAAACCCACACCCCCCAAGGACAAGCUGCCUGAGACACCCCGCCGCCGCAUGAAGAAGAGCCUGUCCGCCCCACUGCACCCCGAGUUUGAGGAGGUCUACAGGUUUGGAGCCGAGAGCCGCAAACUCCUCCUUCGGGAGCCUGUGGAUGCCAUGCCCGACCCCACCCCAUUCCUGCUGGCCCGGGAGUCUGCUGAGGUCCAGCUCAAGGAGCGGCCUCUCGUCAUCCCUCCCAUUGCCUCAGAUCGUAGCGCCACUGGGCAGCACAGCCCAGCCCGAGAUAAGCCACACAAGACGCAUGUUGGGGUGGCUCACCGCAUUCAUCAUGCCACUCCAUCACAGGCCCAGCCUGAGGGAGAGAUGAGGGCCGUGGACCAGGUGAAUGCAAGCAAGGUGGUGCGGAAGCACUCAGGGACAGACCGAACUGUGUGAGGCCUGCGGCCUGCCACCGCAGUCAUCCACGCACUGUGAGCGCCACAGGGAACCUCCUCGCCCACACCUUCCUCGCCUACCCAUGCCAAAUGUCUCCUCCUGUCGAAACCUGGCUCCUGGCUCCAUAGUGACACAAUGCUACAAUGGUGUCCCCGCUGAAGAUAUUACUGGCACUGUGGCCAACGCCUGCAUGCCAAUAGCUUGCUUCUAGCCCCACGCCAUGAGAUCUUGGCGCACUCCUAGAUACAGCCAUGGCUGAAUCACUAUGCCACCUAGAAUAUGAAUCGCCUGAAGUCAAAGCAGAGAAGGAGCUAUCCCUCCACAGAUCCAGGACAGCCUAUGAGAGCAGAGCAGCAGCCUCGGCUCCCUCCUGGAGACCCCUGCCCUGCACAGUCCCUUUACCAAGCAGCUGUGGCUCCUGAUCUUAGCAAGAUGACCUCAACCCUGAUGUUGCCCCAACCUGAUUGUGUGUUCAUAAUUUUUUUUGUUAGUUUCAUCCAGAUGUUCAGGAUCCAACAAAUGUUAUUUUCUAAACCCGCCCUCCUUUUCCUCCGAGUCUUUUUGAAGCACCGAGGGACUGUGGAGGAGGUGGUCGGGGAGGACGAAGCAGGUGGGGUGGGAGGACUUGCUGCCCAGAGCUGUUGCUGAGAUUGUUAAUGCUCCUGCGUUUCUGGCAGAAGCUGCAUUCUGUCCUGCCCAGGCGCUGCCUCCCUGUCUCACAGUGUAAGAGACGCAGCCAGUGGCCAUUUGUCCCAAGGCCACACAGAGAAGAGGUCUGGAGCUCGGGCAGGAACUGAACGCUUGAGCCUCUGUGCUCUUGCCGGAAGGAGCCAUGUGCCGGAGCAGCCGGAGGUGGAUCCCCACACCAGUGGCUUAGCAGGAAGGGAGGGAGAAUGAAUGCACUUGCCUUAAAACUCGCUCUGGCGUGUGCUCUAUCCAGAGUUCUCUAUACAAGAAGCUUGGGAAGCUGAGGCCAACCCCAGCACCCACGUGGUGCCUCACAAUUAGCUGUAACUCCAGGGACCACCUUACAGGUGGUGCACGUAUAUUCAGGCAGGCUCUCACACAUACACAGAAAUAAAAUCUUAAAAAAAAUAAAAA